CACGUAGGGGGCGAGCGUUGUCCGGAUUUAUUGGGCGUAAAGAGCUCGUAGGCGGCUCAGUAAGUCAGGUGUGAAAACUCCAGGCUCAACCUGGAGACGCCACUUGAUACUGCUGUGGCUAGAGUCCGGUAGGGGAGCAUGGAAUUCCUGGUGUAGCGGUGAAAUGCGCAGAUAUCAGGAAGAACACCCGUGGCGAAGGCGGCUCUCUGGGACGGUACUGACGCUGAGACGCGAAAGCGUGGGGAGCGAACAGG
rnacentral:rRNA from 1 species